rnacentral:rRNA from 1 species
CGGUCCUAAGGUAGCGAAAUUCCUUGUCGGGUAAGUUCCGACCUGCACGAAUGGCGUAACGAUUUCCCCACUGUCUCCAGCAUAGACUCAGUGAAAUUGAACUCUCCGUGAAGAUGCGGAGUACCCGCGGUUAGACGGAAAGACCCCGUGCACCUUUACUAUAGCUUUACAUUGGCAUUAUGAAAUAAAUGUGUAGGAUAGGUGGGAGACGAUGAAGCAUAGGCGCAAGUUUAAGUGGAGUCAACCUUGAAAUACCACCCUUUUAUUUUAUGAUGUCUAACCAAGGUGAGUUAACCUCAUCUGGGACCGUGUAUGGUGGGUAGUUUGACUGGGGCGGUCGCCUCCCAAAGAGUAACGGAGGUGUGCGAAGGUAGGCUCAGACUGGACGGAAAUCAGUCGACGAGUGUAAUGGCAAAAGCCUGCCUGACUGCGAUAGCGACGGCUAGAGCAGAGACGAAAGUCGGUCAUAGUGAUCCGGUGGUUCCACAUGGAAGGGCCAUCGCUCAACGGAUAAAAGGUACGCCGGGGAUAACAGGCUGAUACCGCCCAAGAGUUCAAAUCGACGGCGGUGUUUGGCACCUCGAUGUCGACUCAUCACAUCCUGGGGCUGGAGCAGGUCCCAAGGGUUCGGCCGUUCGCCGAUUAAAGUGGUACGUGAGUUGGGUUUAGAACGUCGUGAGACAGUUCGGUCCCUAUCUGCCGUGGGCGCAAGAUAUUUGAGAGGAUCUAUCCUUAGUACGAGAGGACCGGGAUGGACAUACCUCUGGUGUACCUGUUGUCACGCCAGUGGCAUAGCAGGGUAGCUAUGUAUGGAAAAGAUAACUGCUGAAAGCAUCUAAGCAGGAAACUUGCCUCAAGAUAAGAUAUCUCCAUUAGAGCCGUUGAAGACUACAACGUUGAUAGGUUAGGUGUGGAAGUGUAGUGAUACAUGAAGCUAACUAAUACUAAUUGCUCGAGAGACUUGAGAAA